rnacentral:rRNA from 1 species
GGAUCUCUUCGGAUUGAAACUUAUUUGACUGAGCGGCGGACGGGUGAGUAACGCGUGGGUAACCUGCCUCAUACAGGGGGAUAACAGUUAGAAAUGGCUGCUAAUACCGCAUAAGCGCACAGGACCGCAUGGUCUGGUGUGAAAAAUUCCGGUGGUAUGAGAUGGACCCGCGUCUGAUUAGCUAGUUGGAGGGGUAACGGCCCACCAAGGCGACGAUCAGUAGCCGGCCUGAGAGGGUGAACGGCCACAUUGGGACUGAGACACGGCCCAGACUCCUACGGGAGGCAGCAGUGGGGAAUAUUGCACAAUGGGGGAAACCCUGAUGCAGCGACGCCGCGUGAAGGAAGAAGUAUCUCGGUAUGUAAACUUCUAUCAGCAGGGAAGAAAAUGACGGUACCUGACUAAGAAGCCCCGGCUAACUACGUGCCAGCAGCCGCGGUAAUACGUAGGGGGCAAGCGUUAUCCGGAUUUACUGGGUGUAAAGGGAGCGUAGACGGAAGAGCAAGUCUGAUGUGAAAGGCUGGGGCUUAACCCCAGGACUGCAUUGGAAACUGUUUUUCUAGAGUGCCGGAGAGGUAAGCGGAAUUCCUAGUGUAGCGGUGAAAUGCGUAGAUAUUAGGAGGAACACCAGUGGCGAAGGCGGCUUACUGGACGGUAACUGACGUUGAGGCUCGA